rnacentral:misc_RNA from 1 species
AUAAUAUAGCAAACCAAGCGGUAGCGAGGUUUUGCGAUCAAAUUGUAUUUAAAACCCAACUCUUUGAAUCAAAAUAUUAUGUAUCUUAAAUAAUUAAAAGA